GUACCUACGGGAGGCAGCAGUGGGGAAUAUUGCACAAUGGGGGAAACCCUGAUGCAGCGACGCCGCGUGAGUGAAGAAGUAAUUCGUUAUGUAAAGCUCUAUCAGCAGGGAAGAAAAUGACGGUACCUGAGUAAGAAGCCCCGGCUAACUACGUGCCAGCAGCCGCGGUAAUACGUAGGGGGCAAGCGUUAUCCGGAUUUACUGGGUGCAAAGGGAGCGUAGACGGCUAAUCAAGUCAGAAGUGAAAACCCAGGGCUCAACUUUGGGACUGCUUUUGAAACUGAGUAGCUUGAGUGCAGGAGGGG
rnacentral:rRNA from 1 species